rnacentral:rRNA from 1 species
AUAUCAAUAAGCGGAGGAAAAGAAACCAACAGGGAUUGCCUCAGUAACGGCGAGUGAAGCGGCAAUAGCUCAAAUUUGAAAUCUGGCCGUUUCACGGUCCGAGUUGUAAUUUGUAGAGGAUGCUUCGGCUUCGGCCCCGGUCUAAGUUCCUUGGAACAGGACGUCACAGAGGGUGAGAAUCCCGUUUGUGGCCGGCGGCCCCCGCCAUGUGAAGCUCCUUCGACGAGUCGAGUUGUUUGGGAAUGCAGCUCUAAAUGGGAGGUAAAUUUCUUCUAAAGCUAAAUACCGGCCAGAGACCGAUAGCGCACAAGUA